rnacentral:rRNA from 1 species
UACGUAGGGGGCAAGCGUUGUCCGGAAUCAUUGGGCGUAAAGCGCGUGUAGGCGGCUCGAUAAGUCUGCUGUGAAAGUCCAAGGCUCAACCUUGGGAUGCCGGUGGAUACUGUCGAGCUCGAGUCCGGAAGAGGAGUGUGGAAUUCCUGGUGUAGCGGUGAAAUGCGCAGAUAUCAGGAGGAACACCAAUGGCGAAGGCAGCACUCUGGGACGUUACUGACGCUGAGACGCGAAAGCGUGGGGAGCGAACAGG